ACGAACGCUGGCGGCGUGCCUAAUACAUGCAAGUUGAGCGCUGAAGGUUGGUACUUGUACCGACUGGAUGAGCAGCGAACGGGUGAGUAACGCGUGGGGAAUCUGCCUUUGAGCGGGGGACAACAUUUGGAAACGAAUGCUAAUACCGCAUAAAAACUUUAAACACAAGUUUUAAGUUUGAAAGAUGCAAUUGCAUCACUCAAAGAUGAUCCCGCGUUGUAUUAGCUAGUUGGUGAGGUAAAGGCUCACCAAGGCGAUGAUACAUAGCCGACCUGAGAGGGUGAUCGGCCACAUUGGGACUGAGACACGGCCCAAACUCCUACGGGAGGCAGCAGUAGGGAAUCUUCGGCAAUAGACGAAAGUCUGACCGAGCAACGCCGCGUGAGUGAAGAAGGUUUUCGGAUCGUAAAACUCUGUUGGUAGAGAAGAACGUUGGUGAGAGUGGAAAGCUCAUCAAGUGACGGUAACUACCCAGAAAGGGACGGCUAACUACGUG
rnacentral:rRNA from 1 species